GAUGAACGCUAGCGGCAGGCUUAACACAUGCAAGUCGAGGGGUAGGGCAGCAAUGCCUGAGACCGGCGCACGGGUGCGUAACGCGUAUGCAAUCUACCUUAUACAGGGGAAUAGCCCAGAGAAAUUUGGAUUAAUGCCCCAUAGCAUUACGACUUGGCAUCAAGAUGUAAUUAAAGUUCCAACGGUAUAAGAUGAGCAUGCGUCCCAUUAGUUAGUUGGUAAGGUAACGGCUUACCAAGACGAUGAUGGGUAGGGGUCCUGAGAGGGAGAUCCCCCACACUGGUACUGAGACACGGACCAGACUCCUACGGGAGGCAGCAGUGAGGAAUAUUGGUCAAUGGUCGCAAGACUGAACCAGCCAUGCCGCGUGCAGGAAGACGGUCCUAUGGAUUGUAAACUGCUUUUAUACAGGGAGAAACCCUCCCACGUGUGGGAGCUUGACGGUACUGUAGGAAUAAGGAUCGGCUAACUCCGUG
rnacentral:rRNA from 1 species